rnacentral:rRNA from 1 species
GACGAACGCUGGCGGCGUGCCUAAUACAUGCAAGUAGAACGCUGAAGGAGGAGCUUGCUUCUCUGGAUGAGUUGCGAACGGGUGAGUAACGCGUAGGUAACCUGCCUGGUAGCGGGGGAUAACUAUUGGAAACGAUAGCUAAUACCGCAUAAGAGUAGAUGUUGCAUGACAUUCGCUUAAAAGGUGCAAUUGCAUCACUACCAGAUGGACCUGCGUUGUAUUAGCUAGUUGGUGGGGUAACGGCUCACCAAGGCGACGAUACAUAGCCGACCUGAGAGGGUGAUCGGCCACACUGGGACUGAGACACGGCCCAGACUCCUACGGGAGGCAGCAGUAGGGAAUCUUCGGCAAUGGACGGAAGUCUGACCGAGCAACGCCGCGGGAGUGAAGAAGGGUUUCGGAUCGUAAAGCUCUGUUGUAAGAGAAGAACGAGUGUGAGAGUGGAAAGUUCACACUGUGACGGUAUCUUACCAGAAAGGGACGGCUAACUACGUG